rnacentral:tRNA from 1 species
AGGGAAAUAGCUCAGUAGUAGAGCGUGUGCUUAGCAUGCACAAGAUCCUGGAUUCAAACUCCAGUACCUCCA